UAACACAUGCAAGUCGAGCGCGAAAGUUUCUUCGGAAGCGAGUAGAGCGGCGGACGGGUAAGUAACGCGUAGGAAUCUACCCAGUAGUGGGGGACAACUCGGGGAAACUCGAGCUAAUACCGCAUACGCCCUAAGGGGGAAAGCAGGGGAUCUUCGGACCUUGCGCUAUCGGAUGAGCCUGCGUCGGAUUAGCUUGUUGGUGAGGUAAUGGCUCACCAAGGCGACGAUCCGUAGCUGGUCUGAGAGGAUGAUCAGCCACACUGGGACUGAGACACGGCCCAGACUCCUACGGGAGGCAGCAGUGGGGAAUAUUGGACAAUGGGGGAAACCCUGAUCCAGCCAUGCCGCGUGUGUGAAGAAGGCUCUAGGGUUGUAAAGCACUUUCAGUAGGGAGGAAAAGUUGAUAGCUAAUAACUGUCAGCCCUGACGUUACCUACAGAAGAAGCACCGGCAAACUCCGUGCCAGCAGCCGCGGUAAUACGGAGGGUGCGAGCGUUAAUCGGAAUUACUGGGCGUAAAGCGCGCGUAGGCGGUUUGAUAAGCUGGAUGUGAAAGCCCCGGCUCAACCUGG
rnacentral:rRNA from 1 species